CUCCACUUAACUAAGUUCCUCUCUUCCUUGGGGUGGCGGUUAUCAAGAUUCUUCCGACCAGUAAGUAGUUCAAGCAGAACAAUUCCAAAACUCCAUACAUUGCUCUUUGGAGUCAAUAGCCCUCUCUCCAGUGUCUCCAAAGAGAGAUUUGCCACAGCCACUGAACUAUUCGAGAUCUCAGUCUCAGGAAUUUGACCAACACAACCAUAUCCUGACAGCUUUGCACUAAAAUCUUUAUCAAUCUGUAUAUUGCCAGUAGAGAAUUCAUUGUACACUGCCUGAAAAGGCCCUUCUUCAUGCAAAAAAGUAAGACCUUGUGCAGCACAUAAAGCAAUUUUCAUUCUUGUAUUCCAAUCAAUGGGAGGCCCAUCUGAUCUCCCAUACAAAAGUCGAUCCAAGCUUCCAUGAUAAAGCCUCUCGUAAACCAACAUCCUCUGCUCCGACCCAUCACGUGCAUGGUAUCCAAGCAAUUUACAUAGGUUUGGAUGUCGCAAGGAUGCAAAGGUAUUAACCUCAUUU
rnacentral:misc_RNA from 1 species